rnacentral:rRNA from 1 species
AACGAACGCUGGCGGCAGGCCUAACACAUGCAAGUCGAGCGAGGACUUCGGUUCUAGCGGCGGACGGGUGAGUAACGCGUGGGAAUGUGCCCUUCUCUACGGAAUAGCCCUGGGAAACUGGGAGUAAUACCGUAUACGCCCUAUUGGGGAAAGAUUUAUCGGAGAAGGAUCAGCCCGCGUUGGAUUAGGUAGUUGGUGGGGUAAUGGCCUACCAAGCCGACGAUCCAUAGCUGGUUUGAGAGGAUGAUCAGCCACACUGGGACUGAGACACGGCCCAGACUCCUACGGGAGGCAGCAGUGGGGAAUCUUAGACAAUGGGGGCAACCCUGAUCUAGCCAUGCCGCGUGAGUGAUGAAGGCCUUAGGGUUGUAAAGCCCUUUCAGCUGGGAAGAUAAUGACGGUACCAGCAGAAGAAGCCCCGGCUAACUCCGUG